AAAGGAAUUGACGGGACCCGCACAAGCGGUGGAUGAUGUGGUUUAAUUCGAUGCAACGCGAAAACCUUACCCACCUUUGACAUGUACGGAACCUUUAGAGAUAGAGGGUGCUCGAAAGAGAGCCGUAACACAGGUGCUGCAUGGCUGUCGUCAGCUCGUGUCGUGAGAUGUUGGGUUAAGUCCCGCAACGAGCGCAACCCUUGUCAUUAGUUGCUACAUUCAGUUGGGCACUCUAAUGAGACUGCCGGUGACAAGCCGGAGGAAGUGGGGAUGACGUCAAGUCCUCAUGGCCCUUAUAGGUGGGGCUACACACGUCAUACAAUGGCUGGUACAAAGGGUUGCCAACCCGCGAGGGGGAGCCAAUCCCAUAAAGCCAGUCGUAGUCCGGAUCGUAGUCUGCAACUCGACUACGUGAAGUCGGAAUCGCUAGUAAUCGUGGAUCAGAAUGUCACGGUGAAUACGUUCCCGGGUCUU
rnacentral:rRNA from 1 species